rnacentral:rRNA from 1 species
GCAUGUCUAAGUAUAAGCACUUUGUACUGUGAAACUGCGAAUGGCUCAUUAAAUCAGUUAUCGUUUAUUUGAUAGUACCCUACUACAUGGAUACCUGUGGUAAUUCUAGAGCUAAUACAUGCGCAAAACCCCGACUUCGGAAGGGGUGUAUUUAUUAGAUAAAAAACCAAUGCCCUUCGGGGCUCCUUGGUGAUUCAUAAUAACUUAACGAAUCGCAUGGCCUUGCGCCGGCGAUGGUUCAUUCAAAUUUCUGCCCUAUCAACUUUCGAUGGUAGGAUAGUGGCCUACCAUGGUGGCAACGGGUAACGGGGAAUUAGGGUUCGAUUCCGGAGAGGGAGCCUGAGAAACGGCUACCACAUCCAAGGAAGGCAGCAGGCGCGCAAAUUACCCAAUCCCGAUCCGGGGAGGUAGUGACAAUAAAUACUGAUAUAGGGCUCUUUUGGGUCUUAUAAUUGGAAUGAGUACAAUCUAAAUCCCUUAACGAGGAACAAUUGGAGGGCAAGUCUGGUGCCAGCAGCCGCGGUAAUUCCAGCUCCAAUAGCGUAUAUUAAAGUUGUUGCAGUUAAAAAGCUCGUAGUUGAACCUUGGGCCCGUCCUGCCGGUCCGCCUCACCGCGAGUACUGGUCCGGAUGGGCCUUUCUUUCUGGGGAAUCCCAUGGCCUUCACUGGCUGUGGCGGGGAACCAGGACUUUUACUGUGAAAAAAUUAGAGUGUUCAAAGCAGGCCUUUGCUCGGAUACAUUAGCAUGGAAUAAUAAAAUAGGACGUGCGGUUCUAUUUUGUUGGUUUCUAGGACCGCCGUAAUGAUUAAUAGGGAUAGUCGGGGGCGUCAGUAUUCAGCUGUCAGAGGUGAAAUUCUUGGAUUUGCUGAAGACUAACUACUGCGAAAGCAUUCGCCAAGGAUGUUUUCAUUAAUCAGGGAACGAAAGUUAGGGGAUCGAAGACGAUCAGAUACCGUCGUAGUCUUAACCAUAAACUAUGCCGACUAGGGAUCGGGCGGUGUUUCUAUGAUGACCCGCUCGGCACCUUACGAGAAAUCAAAGUUUUUGGGUUNUGGGGG